rnacentral:rRNA from 1 species
UUAACACAUGCAAGUCGAACGAUGAAGCCCUUCGGGGUGGAUUAGUGGCGAACGGGUGAGUAACACGUGGGCAAUCUGCCCUUCACUCUGGGACAAGCCCUGGAAACGGGGUCUAAUACCGGAUAAUACUCCUGCCUGCAUGGGUGGGGGUUGAAAGCUCCGGCGGUGAAGGAUGAGCCCGCGGCCUAUCAGCUUGUUGGUGGGGUAAUGGCCCACCAAGGCGACGACGGGUAGCCGGCCUGAGAGGGCGACCGGCCACACUGGGACUGAGACACGGCCCAGACUCCUACGGGAGGCAGCAGUGGGGAAUAUUGCACAAUGGGCGAAAGCCUGAUGCAGCGACGCCGCGUGAGGGAUGACGGCCUUCGGGUUGUAAACCUCUUUCAGCAGGGAAGAAGCGAAAGUGACGGUACCUGCAGAAGAAGCGCCGGCUAACUACGUGCCAGCAGCCGCGGUAAUACGUAGGGCGCAAGCGUUGUCCGGAAUUAUUGGGCGUAAAGAGCUCGUAGGCGGCUUGUCACGUCGGAUGUGAAAGCCCGAGGCUUAACCUCGGGUCUGCAUUCGAUACGGGCUAGCUAGAGUGUGGUAGGGGAGAUCGGAAUUCCUGGUGUAGCGGUGAAAUGCGCAGAUAUCAGGAGGAACACCGGUGGCGAAGGCGGAUCUCUGGGCCAUUACUGACGCUGAGGAGCGAAAGCGUGGGGAGCGAACAGGAUUAGAUACCCUGGUAGUCCACGCCGUAAACGUUGGGAACUAGGUGUUGGCGACAUUCCACGUCGUCGGUGCCGCAGCUAACGCAUUAAGUUCCCCGCCUGGGGAGUACGGCCGCAAGGCU